GACGAACGCUGGCGGCGUGCUUAACACAUGCAAGUCGAACGGAAAGGCCCUGCUUUUGUGGGGUUCUCGAGUGGCGAACGGGUGAGUAACACGUGAGUCACCUGCCCUUUACUUUGGGAUAACUUCAGGAAACUGGGGCUAAUACCGGAUAGGAGCUCCUGCUGCUUGGGGGGCGUUGGAAAGUUUCGGCGGUUGUGGAUGGACUCGCGGUUUAUCAGCUUGUUGGUGGGGUGGUGGCUUACCAAGGCUUCGACGGGUAGCCGGCCUGGGAGGGUGACCGGCGACAUUGGGACUGAGAGACGGCCCAGACGGGUAAGGGAGGCAGCAGGGGGGAAGAUUGCACAAUGGGCGGAAGGCGGAUGCAGCAGCGCCGCGUGCGGGAAGACGGCUUUCGGGGUGAAAACCGCUUGCGACUGAAACGAAGCGUGAGUGACGGUAAUGGGUAAAGAAGCACCGGCUAACUACGUG
rnacentral:rRNA from 1 species